UUUAUGUAUGUUACAUCAGAACUUUUGACCAGGUAGACCGAUUUCGACAAAUUUUGUUUUAAUCGAAAGGUGGUGUGCAUCAAUUGGUCCCAUUUAAAUUUAUUUGAGAUCUAACAACUACUUUUCGAGUUAUAUCUAAUAAUGCGUUUUUCCUUGACGCUUUUUUCGUCGACCUACGUUGUAUUAUACCGCAUAACUUUCUACUGGAUGUACCGAUUUUGA
rnacentral:misc_RNA from 1 species